CUGGCUCAGGAUGAACGCUGGCGGCGUGCUUAACACAUGCAAGUCGAACGAAGCCAAAAGGAAGCUUGCUUCUUGAAGCUUAGUGGCGGACGGGUGAGUAACGCGUGAGUAACCUGCCCUUCAGUGGGGAAUAACACAGAGAAAUCUGUGCUAAUACCGCAUAACGUCUCUUGCCGCAUGACAGGAAGACCAAAGGAUUUAUUCGCUGAAGGAUGGACUCGCGUCCGAUUAGCUAGUUGGUGAGGUAACGGCCCACCAAGGCGACGAUCGGUAGCCGAACUGAGAGGUUGAUCGGCCACAUUGGGACUGAGACACGGCCCAGACUCCUACGGGAGGCAGCAGUGGGGAAUAUUGGGCAAUGGGCGAAAAAGCCUGACCCAGCAACGCCGCGUGAAGGAAGACGGUCUUCGGAUUGUAAACUUCUUUGAUUGGGGAAGAAACAAAUGACCUACCCAAAGAACAAGUCACGGCUAACUACGUGCCAGCCGCGGC
rnacentral:rRNA from 1 species